AAUAGAUUUAGGAAUUAAUCCCAGCGCUGGUCAAACAUGUUGCAAUUAUUCAUUUCAGGUUGCACAAGGAAUUAAGGGUAUCCUGUUGAUUUUCACUAUUCUCGAGUUCUGGGUGAGCUUGUUCACAUCAAUCUAUGGCUGCAAAGCAACCUGUGGAAACCCAGACCAGCCUGUAAUUAUCAUCCAGCAGAAUGUUGACCCAUCAGGAAUUCCUGUACAGAUCCCACAAUAUAAUAUUCCACAGCAAACUACACCUAUCACACAGCCAUAUGAUUGGCCUUCAAAUAUGUAUUCUUUCCUUCGUCCAUAGGCUAAAUAAAAGUGCGGUUGAGCUCUACAGCACAUGACAUUGACGAAAGUGACUGUGGAAAGGGGUUUGCCAUCAAAAUGAAAGCCUCAGAUAUUUAUUUUUAUUAAUCAAAAUUUAACUCCAAUAUCUUUUAAUUUAUGUUGCUUUGCUUAAGUACUGAUUUACUUUAUUUAGAUUGACACCAAGAAUCCUGAAGAAUCUCCAAGGAAGUGAACCUUUGUGUUUUCUGUUAAGAGAUAUAUAAAGUGCAGUGAACAUGUACAUUUAUUUUUUUUACUGAUAUGGCGAUUUCCUAGAUACCUAGGAGAAUGACAUUCACUAUGCUGAUAUAAUUUGAGGUUUUAGCAAAUCUUGCAGUAUCAGAAGGGUGUAUACUUUUGCCUGGAAUUGAUUUCAUUAAACGUUUUCUCAGUUUCCUGUAUUUGAUUAAUCUGAGGUAGA